CCUACGGGGGGCAGCAGUGAGGAAUAUUGGUCAAUGGACGAGAGUCUGAACCAGCCAAGUAGCGUGAAGGAUGACUGCCCUAUGGGUUGUAAACUUCUUUUAUCUGGGAAUAAAAUGUUCCACGUGUGGGAUUUUGUAUGUACCUUAUGAAUAAGGAUCGGCUAACUCCGUGCCAGCAGCCGCGGUAAUACGGAGGAUCCGAGCGUUAUCCGGAUUUAUUGGGUUUAAAGGGAGCGUAGGUGGAUUGUUAAGUCAGUUGUGAAAGUUUGCGGCUCAACCGUAAAAUUGCAGUUGAAACUGGCAGUCUUGAGUACAGUAGAGGUGGGCGGAAUGCGUGGUGUAGCGGUGAAAUGCUUAGAUAUCACGAAGAACUCCGAUUGCGAAGGCAGUUCACUGGACUGCAACUGACACUGAGGCUCGAAAGUGUGGGUAUCAAACAGGAUUAGAUACCCUGGUAGUC
rnacentral:rRNA from 1 species